ACGGACUGAAAAUGACCCCAGAUAAAUCAGUGAUCUGAGGUCAGAUAACUGUGCCUAGAGUACUGUGGUGCAUAAAGCUUAUUGCGUGUGUCUUUUUUUAGUGACUGCGUGAUAAAACCCAUGUACUAACAUAA
rnacentral:snoRNA from 1 species